rnacentral:lncRNA from 1 species
GUCGGGAAGCUGAGGUUUUUCCUAUGUCUGGCCAGUGACACAAGUGAGAAUUGGAUGUUAUGACCGUCCAGAAAAGACAAGAUGAGAAAGUGCAGUAUUGACUGUCUUCAAACGCACCUGUCCUUGCUCAAGUGCUGGGAUUGUGUGCCAACGGCUAUGAUAGAUAUGAAUAGAGCACGAGAUAAUGUGCUUACAGAAAGUUGGUUGAAUUGAAUGCAAUUAAUGUUUGGAGGCACUUAGUCUUCUAGUGUUUGAAUGUGGAUGGAAUUAAAGCUGGGUUUGUAGUGAGCCAUUAGGAUUAUGGCAAAUGUCUAGUGUACAGAAUUCAGUGUAGGCCGGGAGUUGAGACUGGUGUGUGUUUAGUGGAUUAUCUGAUCAGCACAUGUGUGACAGUGUUGAUCACAAGUCAUUGCCAGCUCUGUUCAUUUUCUUCCCUGGUCUAACUCAAUAAUUGCCAUCAUGAAAAUUCUGGGUGACUUUUGUGACUAAAGUCCCAUUGUAAGCCACAUUCUUUGUCCAGCAGUGCUCACUGACUGCUGAAAUA